rnacentral:rRNA from 1 species
UACGUAGGGGGCGAGCGUUGUCCGGAUUUAUUGGGCGUAAAGCGUGCGUAGGCGGCUGCGCAAGUCGGGUGUGAAAUCCCGGGGCUCAACCCCGUGACUGCAUCCGAUACUGUCAGGCUAGAGGUAGGUAGGGGAGAUCGGAAUUCCUGGUGUAGCGGUGAAAUGCGCAGAUAUCAGGAGGAACACCGGUGGCGAAGGCGGAUCUCUGGGCCUUACCUGACGCUCAGGCGCGAAAGCUAGGGGAGCGAACAGG